rnacentral:rRNA from 1 species
GAUGAACGCUGGCGGCGUGCCUAAUACAUGCAAGUCGAGCGAAUGGAUUAAGAGCUUGCUCUUAUGAAGUUAGCGGCGGACGGGUGAGUAACACGUGGGUAACCUGCACAUAAGACUGGGAUAACUCCGGGAAACCGGGGCUAAUACCGGAUAACAUUUUGAACCGCAUGGUUCGAAAUUGAAAGGCGGCUUCGGCUGUCACUUAUGGAUGGACCCGCGUCGCAUUAGCUAGGUGGUGAGGUAACGGCUCACCAAGGCAACGAUGCGUAGCCGACCUUGAGGGGUGAGCGGGCACACUGGGACUGGGACACGGCCCAGACUCCUACGGGAGGGAGCAGUAGGGAAUCUUCCGCAAUGGACGAAAGUCUGACGGAGCAACGCCGGGUGAGUGAUGAAGGCUUUCGGGUCGUAAAACUCUGUUGUUAGGGAAGAACAAGUGCUAGUUGAAUAAGCUGGCACCUUGACGGUACCUAACCAGAAAGCCACGGCUAACUACGUGCCAGCAGCCGCAGUAA